UACGGAGGAUGCGAGCGUUAUCCGGAUUUAUUGGGUUUAACGGGUGCGUAGGCGGACUGUCAAGUCAGCGGUAAAAUACGGGGGCUCAACCUCCGCCCGCCGUUGAAACUGCGGGUCUUGAGUGAGCGAGAAGUAUGCGGAAUGCGUGGUGUAGCGGUGAAAUGCAUAGAUAUCACGCAGAACUCCGAUUGCGAAGGCAGCUUACCAGUCUGCGACUGACGCUCAGGCACGAAAGUGUGGGUAUCGAACAGG
rnacentral:rRNA from 1 species